AGAGAGGGAGAGAGAGAUUGAACAACACUUGCUUUUAGUUGUUCUUAGCUUUUACAUAUUCUUCUGUGAUGGGUUUUAUCUGAAUUCUCUCUUCCUUCAUCCCAAACCAUUAUUCCAUAACAUGAUGAUGAUCAAACACUUAGCUUUUUUCUUCUUCUUCUUUCUCUCCACUGCUUCACUCUGUCUCUCCUACGAACCUCGCAACCAUGAAGUGGUGGCUUUGAUAAGCUUAAAGGGCAGUUUGAAUGAUCCUCAUGGCGUUUUAAACAAUUGGGAUGGAGACUCUGUAGACCCAUGUAGCUGGGCUAUGAUCACUUGCUCAUCUGAGAAUGUUGUUGUAGGCCUAGGAGCUCCAAGCCAGUCACUGUCUGGAACUUUAACUGCAGCUAUAGGAAAUCUCACAAAUCUUCGCCAAGUGUUGCUGCAGAACAACAAUAUAUCUGGUAAACUCCCAGCGGAGCUGGGUACUCUUCCCAAGCUUCAAACUCUUGAUCUCUCCAAUAAUCGAUUCUUGGGUGUUGUCCCAGAGUCUCUGGGUCAGUUGAAUAGUCUGCAGUAUCUGAGGCUGAACAACAAUAGCUUGUCUGGAGCUUUCCCUGUGUCUUUAGCCAAAAUUCCUGCUCUUGCUUUCUUGGACUUGUCUUACAACAAUCUUAGUGGACCAAUACCCAAAUUCCCAGCCAGAACUUUCAAUGUUGUCGGGAACCCACUGAUUUGUGGAAGCAGCUCCACAGAAGGAUGCUCUGGAUCAGCCCCUGUUCCUCUUUCAUUAUCACUAAACCCAUCACCUGGAAAACACAAGUCCAAAACAGUAGCAAUUGCACUUGGGGUGAGCUUCAGCUGUGCCUUUCUCAUGCUCCUAUCACUUGGAAUCAUCUGGUACAGAGAGAAGCAAAAGAGCCAAACCAUUUUGAACAUCAGUGACAUUCAAGAAGAGGGACUUGUGAGCUUAGGCAACCUCAGAAACUUCACUUUCAAAGAGCUUCAAGUCGCCACAGACCAUUUUAGCUCCAAGAACAUACUAGGUGCUGGAGGUUUUGGGAAUGUGUACAAGGGAAAGCUGGGAGAUGGGACUAUGGUGGCAGUAAAACGACUCAAGGAUGUUACAGGAACAGCUGGAGAGUCGCAAUUCAGGACAGAAUUGGAAAUGAUAAGCCUAGCAGUACACAGGAAUUUGCUUCGCUUAAUCGGAUAUUGUGCUACUUCUAAUGAGAGGCUUCUGGUGUACCCUUACAUGUCCAAUGGCAGUGUUGCCUUCAGGCUUAGAGGAAAGCCAGCUCUAGAUUGGAACACAAGGAAGAGAAUAGCAAUUGGAGCUGCAAGAGGUCUUUUGUAUCUACAUGAGCAAUGCGAUCCAAAGAUCAUACACAGGGACGUGAAGGCUGCAAAUGUGCUCCUGGAUGACUACUGUGAGGCAAUUGUUGGUGAUUUUGGCCUUGCAAAGCUCCUCGACCAUGCUGACUCUCAUGUGACCACUGCUGUACGUGGGACUGUUGGGCACAUUGCACCAGAGUACCUUUCUACUGGUCAAUCAUCUAGAAAAAACUGAUGUUUUUGGAUUUGGCAUUCUCUUGAUUGAGCUCAUAACUGGGAUGAGAGCUCUGGAGUUUGGCAAAACAGUUAAUCAGAAAGGAGCCAUGCUUGAGUGGGUGAAGAAAGUACAACAAGAAAAGAAAGUAGAACUCUUGGUGGAUAGAGAACUGGGGAACAAUUACGAUCGGAUAGAGGUUGGUGAAAUGCUACAAGUGGCUCUGCUAUGCACUCAAUACCUACCAGCUCACCGCCCCAAGAUGUCGGAAGUGGUCCGGAUGCUGGAAGGUGAUGGACUAGCGGAGAAGUGGGCAUCGUCACAUAAUCAUAGUAAAUCCAGGAUGGACCUCUUCCAGACUCACAACAGUAACAAAAGCACUCCCCACAGUACUUGGAAUGCAUCAAAACAUGAUGGGAGUGAACGCAUGUUUGGCACAUCUAUGGAUGAGGAUGAUGAUGAGCAUUCUUUGGAUUCCUAUGCCAUGGAACUCUCUGGUCCAAGAUAGAGAUAGAAAACUAAGAUGAUGAAACAUAGACAAACAAAAGGUGGAGAAUUUCUUCAUGAAUUCUUUAAAAGAGAAACAUACCCGGUUGUGCUUGGGAAACCAAACUUCUGUAAUUCCAGCUUUGUGGGUUAUUGUAAAUAUGACUUUAUAUAGUCUUAUUAUUAUUAUGGUUAGGGUAUUAAAUUUGUCUGGUUGCGUUAUGGUAAAAAAUGUCAUUGGAGUAAUGGAUGGGUUUUGCAUUUGUUGUUGUACAUAACUACAUAUGAUGAUUAGUCAAUGAGAUGCCC